GGAGAGGCGUCAGCGCCAAGCGUGUGAGGAGAGAGUGGUUUCGCUGCUGGCUCGCUUAGCAGAGAUGCUGCGGAAGGGCUGGAUCCUAGGCCAGGGCGCACGAAGCGUUUCGGCAGCCCUGGAGGGCGCGGGCGCCGUGGUACCGUUAGGUGCGCGAUUUUUCUAUCGAAGAAUGUCACAGAAAUAACUGUAAGCUGCACCAUUCAUCCAUGUGGUGAAUCACACUUAUUUUCAAAGGAAAAAAAAUCUGACCAAAUGUUUCUGAGCAGCCCUACAUUUGAAGAACUGAAAGAAACAGGCCAUAGUUUCACAUUACCUUUUUUUGUCAGUGGUGCAGCCCUGCAUAUGUUUUGUUUUGUUAUUUUGGAGGAGGUUUUUUAACCAAGGUCAGUUCACUGAUCCGAUUUACGUGUCAGCCUUGCAAACGGUCAUACUAGCACAACUGCGAGGGCAGCAUGAUACAGUGUGGAGGUGGGAACGGGCACUUCUGGACAGGCCUGCGUGCCAGCUUUGCUGCUGAAGAAAAUAUAAUAUGAAACAGUAACCUCAUAAGUUUUUCACCUAGAAGUGUAAUGCAGUAAUUUCUGGAAUUAAAUAUAAUGGCCAAUUAACAACAUUCAAUGACACUGUCCAAAAACGAGUUAACAACAUUCAGUAACACUGUACAACAGCAAAGGAGGAGGGGAAGAUUCUAACUAAUCCUGAAGGAAGAGUCUCAAGUCCAUUAUCUAAGGAUGCUACUAUUCAGUAGUUUGUGUUGGGUCUACAUGUUUUGGCAAAUACUCCCACUAGAGUCCAGCUCAAGAAAUUGUACCUGUUUCUUCUUCAAGAUAACCAGUCCCAUCAGCUCGGGAUGUAUGUAACUAAUAGAUUUCAGUAUCCCAUGACAUUUUGGGGACUCCGUUUUGAAUUGACCUUAGAUCUAUAAUCACACUCACAUGAGAAGCUGAUCUGAAACAAUGUUCCUUUAUUUGCAGUGGCUUCAUUUCUGUCCAAAAUGAUCAAGUCAGGUAACUGCAAAAAUUUGUGCUGGUGACUGUUGAUAUAAUAGAAGUUUGUGGAUUAAUGUUGAAUAGCCACAUUUUGAAUAGCUAGGAGAACAGGUUUUUUUGCAUGCAUCAGUUAAUUAAAGGACAAGUUAUAAAGGUAACUGAGCGUGAAUUACUUUAAGCCUAAGUUCCUGCUGCCUGAGUCACCCUUAGAAGUAGGAAUUAAAAGAGCCCUUGUGCAUGGCAGAACUCGCAGUUAGCCAAGGACUGGAGCACUGGCUGACGUGAAAUAGGGCAGUUGAGGCUGGCCGAGGCAUAAGGACACCCCAGUGACAUCUCUGUACCCUGAUGCGGACUCAGAGGCUCCACCUAAGCUAGAGGACCCAGGCGUGCUUUCACACUCCUACAAUGGGUGUAUGCCUUGGCCACGUCCCUUGAGCAAGACAAAAAUACACAAUCUGAACGUGGGUUGCAGUGUGCUUCAGUGACUGCUAACUGGGUACCUGAGGAACCAAGACCCGUGGAUAUGCUAUCGUAUGGCCACAGUUCAGCUGAAACUCUGCCAGAAUAGGUACAGCCUGCAGCCUCCAGGAACUACCCAUGUCCUGUGCUAGCUGAUGUUUCUUCUGAACAGCUGCAUUUCUUACAGGUUCACGUGUCUAGCUUACAGUACUCCUGAAUCUUCAGGGUAGCAGAAAUGACCUCUAGAGAAGAAAAGGAUCUGGUUCGAGCAGUCACGUGUAGGUAUUUUAAAAGCCACCUGAGUCCCUAAGCUUUCAGAGAUGGCUUAUCAAUGGGAAACAUAAAGAUCAAGGGCACAAGGGAGUGCAAGUCGGCGGUGAUCAGCUGCGUGGCUGAUGUUAAAAACUAUAUGUAAGAAGAUUUAGAGAAACAAACAUAGAAAAGAUUGCCAUGAUCGUGUUCAGAACUUGUCCCUAGAAUUCUCUACACGUAUAUUUGAACUGUGAAAUAAAUUUACUUGGAG
ensembl:lncRNA